rnacentral:rRNA from 1 species
AACGAACGCUGGCGGCAUGCCUAACACAUGCAAGUCGAACGAGACCUUCUGGUCUAGUUGCGCGCGGGUGCGUAAAGCCGUGGAACCUUCCCUUAGGUUGGGAAUAACUCCCCGAAAAGGGUGGUAAUAACGGAUAAUGUCUUCGAACCAAAGAUUUAACGCGGUUGGGUGGGCCCUCGUGUGAUUAUCGAGUUGGGAGGGUAAAAGCCUACAAAGGCGACGAUACAUAGCUGGGCUGAGAGGAUGAUCAGCCACACUGGGACUGAGACGCGGCCCAGACUCCUACGAGAGGGAGCAGUGGGGAAUAUUGGACAAUGGGCGAAAGUCUGAUCCAGCAAUGGCGCGUGAGUGAUGAAGGCCUUAGUGUUGUAAAGCUCUUUUACCAGGGAUGAUAAUGACAGUACCGGGAGAAUAAGCACCGGCUAACUCCGUG